CAGGCUGUACUUCUCUCACAAGACACAAACAGGCUGUAAGGAAGGAAUAUUUCUGGAGAUGUCAGUGCUGUUACCCGUGUGUAACUCUGGAUUAAUCCAUUGAAGGUGGCUGUGGACCACUCAGGAAGAAAGGAGAAAUUAUUCCAGAGUUUGUAUCAACCGCAGAAGACUAUUAAACAAAGUACUUCAGCAAUCUCCGAAAUCUGUAUUUUUGAGAUGGGCUGUUCUGCCUGUGAUGACAUAGAUGCAGAGGAUGUAUGCACACGUAAAGAUGGAGACCGACGCGGACACGUGCAGAGGUGCAUUGAGGAAUCAUUCUGCUAACCUUCACUCUUCUUUCCUUUCCCAAAAUGGCUGUUUUUUCCUCACCAGAGUUUUUUCCAACUGUGUUGUAAUGGCUGAAACCGUCAGCAUAAAGUACCAUCAACUAAAAUGAAGCAAGGCGGACUCCCACAAGCUGCAGAACUUUGCAACACAAAGCCACUUUACAAAGAGUUUAGCUCUAUAGAAACCACAGUGAAUGCUAGGAGGAAUCCCAGAAAACUUUGCAUGAUGCUUCAAAAUGCACCACAGGGAUCCUGUGCUUGUUACCUCCUGACACCAUCUUUCUGUAAAGGAAAAGCACACAGCGCUCUGCGUGGCGAUUACCCUGGGGUCCUGUGCAUUCAGCACUAGUAUUGGAAAGUUUCAGAUCGCACAAAGAAGACAACAAGGACCUUUGAUUGCUCCUGUUGAAGCUCCUGGUAAGAAGCAAGUCACUUCCCUCUAGCCCCUGUGAGCCUCGAUGUGUGGAUAUUUCCAUGCCCGCUUGACAGGUGACUGUUUUACCAGACAGGGUUGUCAGUGCUGUUGGGGGUUAUCUGGAUUUUGCUGUAGGCAGGAACCGAACCACAAUGAGCAUUAAAAAAGCUCACUGUUCUUCAUUUGUUUAGAGACAAGCCAUCUCAAACUUGUUUGAAGCCUUUUUUAUUGAAUUCACACUCUUGUGCCAAGCACUGAAAGAUUUACUUUGGCUAUUGCUGUAAGAUGGAAAGCAUAUGAAUGCCUGGCCGCCUGCCAGCUAUGGGUGAGCAGUGAAAGGUCUGGUACAAUGGACGGUUACACAGAACAAAUGUGAAUGCGCUGGGCAGACGUGACUGAAGAAAGGCGUUGGCAUUCAAAGAGCUGCUCAAGGUUUAAUCCCAAUGCCUGAAGUAGGGUCAAGAGAUAACAAGUCUAACCUGCAAAGCUUUUAACUAUGCAGCAGCUGAAAAGCAGUAAGCUACAGGUAUGCACGUGUGUCGUUGGGAGGAGCAGCUGCUGGCCUGGCCUCCCGUUGCAGGCCCUGACUCUUCCACAGGCUCCAUCUGUGAAGAU